rnacentral:rRNA from 1 species
AUGCAGUCGAGCGAACUGAUUAGAAGCUUGCUUCUAUGACGUUAGCGGCGGACGGGUGAGUAACACGUGGGCAACCUGCCUGUAAGACUGGGAUAACUCCGGGAAACCGGAGCUAAUACCGGAUAACAUUUUUUCUUGCAUAAGAGAAAAUUGAAAGAUGGUUUCGGCUAUCACUUACAGAUGGGCCCGCGGUGCAUUAGCUAGUUGGUGAGGUAACGGCUCACCAAGGCAACGAUGCAUAGCCGACCUGAGAGGGUGAUCGGCCACACUGGGACUGAGACACGGCCCAGACUCCUACGGGAGGCAGCAGUAGGGAAUCUUCCGCAAUGGACGAAAGUCUGACGGAGCAACGCCGCGUGAGUGAUGAAGGCUUUCGGGUCGUAAAACUCUGUUGUUAGGGAAGAACAAGUACAAGAGUAACUGCUUGUACCUUGACGGUACCUAACCAGAAAGCCACGGCUAACUACGUGCCAGCAGCCGCGGUAAUACGUAGGUGGCAAGCGUUAUCCGGAAUUAUUGGGCGUAAAGCGCGCGCAGGCGGUUUCUUAAGUCUGAUGUGAAAGCCCACGGCUCAACCGUGGAGGGUCAUUGGAAACUGGGGAACUUGAGUGCAGAAGAGAAAAGCGGAAUUCCACGUGUAGCGGUGAAAUGCGUAGAGAUGUGGAGGAACACCAGUGGCGAAAGCGGCUUUUUGGUCUGUAACUGACGCUGAGGCGCGAAAGCGUGGGGGAGCAAACAGGAUUAGAUACCCUGGUAGUCCACGCCGUAAACGAUGAGUGCUAAGUGUUAGAGGGUUUCCGCCCUUUAGUGCUGCAGCUAA